AAUAAAGUGCCUGAUUAAAGGAUUAUUUUGAUAGAAUAAAUUAUAUAAUAAUUAUUAUUAUCUUUAUUA
rnacentral:tRNA from 1 species